rnacentral:rRNA from 1 species
GACGAACGCUGGCGGCGUGCUUAACACAUGCAAGUCGAACGGUGAAGGGACUGGUUUUGCUGGUCCUGGAUGAGUGGCGAACGGGUGAGUAACACGUGAGUAACCUGCCCCCUUCUUCUGGAUAACCGCAUGAAAGUGUGGCUAAUACGGGAUAUUCUGGGUCUGUCGCAUGGUGGGCCUGGGAAAGAUUGCGCCUUUUUUGGUGUUUUUGGUGGGGGACGGGCUCGCGGCCUAUCAGCUUGUUGGUGGGGUGAUGGCCUACCAAGGCGGUGACGGGUAGCCGGCCUGAGAGGGUGGACGGUCACACUGGGACUGAGACACGGCCCAGACUCCUACGGGAGGCAGCAGUGGGGAAUAUUGCACAAUGGGCGCAAGCCUGAUGCAGCGACGCCGCGUGAGGGAUGGAGGCCUUCGGGUUGUGAACCUCUUUCGCCAGUGAAGCAGGCCUGCCUCUUUUUGUGGGUGGGUUGACGGUAGCUGGAUAAGAAGCGCCGGCUAACUACGUG